rnacentral:rRNA from 1 species
GAUGAACGCUGGCGGCGUGCCUAAUACAUGCAAGUCGAGCGAACGGACGAGAAGCUUGCUUCUCUGAUGUUAGCGGCGGACGGGUGAGUAACACGUGGAUAACCUACCUAUAAGACUGGGAUAACUUCGGGAAACCGUAGCUAAUACCGGAUAAUAUUUUGAACCGCAUGGUUCAAAAGUGAAAGACGGUCUUGCUGUCACUUAUAGAUGGAUCCGCGCUGCAUUAGCUAGUUGGUAAGGUAACGGCUUACCAAGGCAACGAUGCAUAGCCGACCUGAGAGGGUGAUCGGCCACACUGGAACUGAGACACGGUCCAGACUCCUACGGGAGGCAGCAGUAGGGAAUCUUCCGCAAUGGGCGAAAGCCUGACGGAGCAACGCCGCGUGAGUGAUGAAGGUCUUCGGAUCGUAAAACUCUGUUAUUAGGGAAGAACAUAUGUGUAAGUAACUGUGCACAUCUUGACGGUACCUAAUCAGAAAGCCACGGCUAACUGCGU